rnacentral:rRNA from 1 species
GACGUAGGAUGCAAGCGUUGUCCGGAAUUAUUGGGCGUAAAGAGUUCGUAGGCGGUUAUCUAAGUCUGGUGUUAAAGCCCGAAGCUCAACUUCGGCAUGGCAUUGGAAACUGGAUAGCUAGAGUGUGGUAGAGGUAUCGGGAAUUCCUGGUGUAGCGGUGAAAUGCGUAGAUAUCAGGAGGAACACCGGUGGCGAAAGCGCGAUACUGGGCCAUAACUGACGCUGAGGAGCGAAAGCAUGGGGAGCGAACAGG